rnacentral:rRNA from 1 species
UACGUAGGGGGCAAGCGUUGUCCGGAUUUAUUGGGCGUAAAGAGCGUGUAGGCGGCCAUACAGGUCCGUUGUGAAAACUGGAGGCUUAACCUCCAGACGUCGAUGGAAACCGUAUGGCUAGAGUCCGGAAGAGGAGAGUGGAAUUCCUGGUGUAGCGGUGAAAUGCGCAGAUAUCAGGAAGAACACCCGUGGCGAAGGCGACUCUCUGGGACGGUACUGACGCUGAGACGCGAAAGCGUGGGGAGCGAACAGGAUUAGAUAC